rnacentral:rRNA from 1 species
UUUGCGGAGAGUUUGAUCCUGGCUCAGGAUGAACGCUGGCGGCGUGCCUAAUACAUGCAAGUCGAACGAGGAGCCA